AGUUUCUUCUCGUCUAUUCUCAGCGCAAACUCUCACUGUCUGACUCACGCGGGUCCGUUGCUCUGAGGAGCUCACCAAUGGCUCCGCGUCGGCUCACCAGGCACAUAGAAAAUAUAUCGAGAGAUAGAGAGUUCUUAUUCUCUCUGAUUCUCUCUCCGUCAUUCUCUUUUUCUAUUCGAAAAGAUUCUGACGAAGUCGCCGUCAUUGGCGUCGUCGUGUGUGUGAGAGAAGACGGGAAGGAAGGGGAGUGAGUGACUGCUGUAGCUUGAAAUCGAAAAU
ensembl:ncRNA C02F4.11 ncRNA